UUCGCCUUGCGGAGCGCUUACGGGAAUACUCAGGAGGCAGUGUUUUGAUGGUUAAUUUUCGCACAUGUUUGUAUCGCUUGGUUUCCUGCGUUCCUCUUCAAGUGUCAGGGAUAUUUCUAAUUUGCAAUGCCUAUCUCUAAGUCUCUGGCAGCAUUAUGUUAUUGGCACUUUUGUGAUCUGAGAAGCUGCCUGACCAAGUUGCCUAUCAAGAUGAACAUUCCAUCUCUGGAUUCUGCUUGCGUGGAAUUUAUUUCACCAUAUAUUUUUCAAUGCAGCUAGAAAGUACUGGCUUUCUAUCUUGAAUCCGGUGGCCCCAGAAGCAAGUGCUGGCAAGCAGGCCAUGCGCUUUUGGUCAUUAAUUAAUCCGCGUUUAACCUGUUUGUAUACAGCGAGAACAUGUAAUGAAUAAUUUCAUACAUGUGCGUGGCUGGGGGCCGAUCAUUUUUGUAAUAAAGCUUUAUCAGUUGUAUAAAUAAAAAAGUAACAUUGGUAUGACA